rnacentral:misc_RNA from 1 species
ACAAACUUGGUCAUUUAGAGGAAGUAAAAGUCGUAACAAGGUCUCCGUUGGUGAACCAGCGGAGGGAUCAUUGCAGAGCCACAAGGCCACAAACCUCGCGAACCUACCACUACGUUGCCUCGGCGGGCGGCUCCAGGGGGAGCCUUUGGCCCCCUCGGGGGGUGCCCGCCAAAAGGCCCAAACACUGCCGUAAGAACGAACAUCAGAGUCCCUGCGUAAGCAAUCAAAACUUUCAACAAUGGAUCUCUUGGCUCUGGCAUCGAUGAAGAACGCAGC